ensembl:misc_RNA Metazoa_SRP Metazoan signal recognition particle RNA
GCUGGGUAUGGUGGCGGGUGCCUGUAAUCCCAGCUACUCAGGAGGCUGAGGCAGGAGAAUCGCUUGAACCUGGGAGGUGGAGGUUGCAGUGAGCCGAGAUCACACCACUGCACUCCAGCCUGGGUGACAGAGCAAGACCCUGCCUCAA